ACCUAACACAUGCACAGAAGUCAGGUGAUUAACUCCUGAAGAUAAAAUCUGAUCGGAAAGUUAUCAAAUAGUACCCAAAUCUCAUUCAACGUUCCGAUUUCAGACCGAAGCUUCCCGACCAAAUCUCAUCCCACGUUGAGAUCUGUAACCUGUACAUAUUAUAUGAGGUAGACUAUCGACGGGAGAUCGUAUGAGAGGGUGGAACAUGAAUGUUGAUACGUCAUGUGUUCUAUGCCAAGAACCUUUGGAGACUGCAGAUCACUUGUUCUUUAAGUGCCCUUACUCAACGCAAAUUUGGGAAGCUUUAAUGAAAGGGGUGAUGGAGAGUCAAUUCACUAUGGAGUGGGAAAGGAUAAUUACAUUCCUCAGGGAAAGUUCAAAUUGGAGCAAGGUUAAACUCUUUGUAUCUAGAUACAUACUACAAUUGACAGUUCAUGCUACAUGGAUGGAACGAAACCGAAGGAAACACAAUGAGCUUCCAUCCCCAAGUGUGGUCUUGAUCAAGAGAUUGGACAAGAACAUGAGAAACAGAUUCACCAUUUUGCAAAGAAGAGGAGAUAAGGAGUUGGCUGAAGGAAUGACAUUUUGGUUUGGCUCUAGAUAGCUUUGAGAUACUCUUGAGUCCAUAGAUUAAAAAAGGGAGGAGAGUUUAUAAUUUUCAGCUUUGGUCACACAUGAUGUAAAACAGUCUUUUUUCUUUGAAUUAAAUUAACAUUCAAUUCAAAAAAAAAACUAUACAAACAGAUAGACAAAAUUUUGAUAUGUUUUCAUUAUAAAGUAAUAAAAAGAAGAGAAGUUUCCAACAUCUCUUGAUUUGUCUGA